AGGGUAAUAGUUAAUUAUAACAUUUAAUUUGCACUUAAAAAGUAUUGUCCUGACAAUUUACCUU
rnacentral:tRNA from 1 species